rnacentral:ncRNA from 1 species
CAGGUGCGAUGGUAAUGCGUCGCAUAAUAGGGAAGUCCGGUGUAAAUCCGGCGCAGUCCCGCUACUGUAAUGGUGAGUUAACCGCAUAAAAGCCACUGGGCAACUGGGAAGGCGCGGUAGAAUUAACGAUGAUCCAAAGCCAGGAGACCUGCCUGUAGAAC